GCAAAUCUCAAAAAGACCGUCCCAGUUCGGAUUGCAGGCUGCAACCCGCCUGCAUGAAGUUGGAAUCGCUAGUAAUCGCGGAUCAGCAUGCCGCGGUGAAUACGUUCCCGGGCCUUGUACACACCGCCCGUCACACCAUGAGAGUCGGGAACACCCGAAGUCCGUAGUCUGACCGCAAGGGGACGCGGCCGAAGGUGGGUUCGAUAAUUGGGGUGAAGUCGUAACAAGGUACC
rnacentral:rRNA from 1 species